AGAGUUUGAUCCGUGGCUACAGGACGAACGCUGGCGGCGUGCUUAACACAUGCAAGUCGAACGGGGAUAUGUUGGAUGAGAGCUUCGGCAGGAUUCUGGCAUAUUCUAGUGGCGGACGGGUGAGUAACGCGUGAACAAUCUGUCCCAGACAGGGGAAUAACACUUGGAAACAGGUGCUAAUACCGCAUAAGACCACGGAAUCGCAUGGUACAGGGGUAAAAGGAGAAAUCCGGUUUGGGGUGAGUUCGCGUCCGAUUAGAUAGUUGGUGAGGUAACGGCCCACCAAGUCGACGAUCGGUAGCCGACCUGAGAGGGUGAUCGGCCACAUUGGAACUGAGAGACGGUCCAAACUCCUACGGGAGGCAGCAGUGGGGAAUAUUGGGCAAUGGGCGAAAGCCUGACCCAGCAACGCCGCGUGAGCGAAGAAGGCUUUCGGGUUGUAAAGCUCUGUUAUAGGGGACGAAGGAAGUGACGGUACCCUAUAAGGAAGCCCCGGCUAACUACGUGCC
rnacentral:rRNA from 1 species